rnacentral:rRNA from 1 species
GGAUUAGAUACCCUGGUAGUCCUAGCCCUAAACGAUGUAUGUUUGGUGUCUGGAGUUUUAAUUCUCUGGGUGCCGUCGCUAACGCUUUUAACAUACCGCCUGGGGAGUACGCACGCAAGUGUGAAACUCAAAGGAAUUGACGGGGACCCGCACAAGCGGUGGAGCAUGUGGUUUAAUUCGACGCAACGCGAAGAACCUUACCUGGACUAGAAUGCGAGGGAAGCUUGGGUAACGCCAAGCGUCUGGGCAACCAGACCCGAAGCAAGGUGCUGCAUGGCUGUCGUCAGCUCGUGCCG